UACCAGCCCUCCGAGUGGUGUGGAUGUUUAUUGGGCCUAAAGCAUCCGUAGCUGGCUGGGCAAGUCCCCUGUUAAAUCCACCGAUUUAAUCGUUGGUGUGCGGGGGAUACUGUUCGGCUAGGGGACGGGAGAGGCCGACGGUAUUUUCGGGGUAGGGGUGAAAUCCUAUAAUCCCGGGAAGACCACCAGUGGCGAAGGCUGUCGGCUAGAACGCGCCCGACGGUGAGGGAUGAAAGCUGGGGGAGCGAACCGGAUUAGAUACCCGGGUAGUCCCAGCUGUAAACGAUGCAGGCUAGGUGUUUGGGCGGCCACGUGCCGCUCUAGUGCCGCAGGGAAGCCGUUAAGCCUGCCGCCUGGGGAGUACGGCCGCAAGGCUGAAACUUAAAGGAAUUGGCGGGGAGCACCACAAGGGGUGAAGCUUGCGGUUU
rnacentral:rRNA from 1 species